rnacentral:rRNA from 1 species
UACGAAGGGUGCAAGCGUUUAAUCGGAAUUACUGGGCGUAAAGCGUGCGCAGGCGGUUUUGUAAGCCAGAUGUGAAAUCCCCGGGCUUAACCUGGGGAAUGGCAUUUGGGACUGGCAAGGCUUGAGUGCGGCAGAGGAGACUGGAAUUCCUGGUGUAGCAGUGAAAUGCGUAGAUAAUCGGAGAGGAAUACCGUGUGGCGAAGGCGGCCAACUGGACGAGAUACUGGACACUGAGA